rnacentral:rRNA from 1 species
AAAACUCCAGUCAGUGAACUUUGCUGUCUUGAUUUAAAUUCAAUAAACUAAAACUUUCAACAACGGAUCUCUUGGUUCUGGCAUCGAUGAAGAACGCAGCGAAAUGCGAUAAGUAAUGUGAAUUUGCAGAAUUCAUGUGAAUCAUCGAAUCUUUUGAACUGCACAUUGCUGCCCUUUGGUAUUCCGAAGUGGCAUGCCUGUUCGAGCGUCAUUACACCCCUCAAGCUCUGACUUGGUGUUAGGGCGGCUGUCCUCCCGGACGCUGCCUCAAAGACCUCGGCGGUGGACGUCUUGCCUCAAAGCGUAGUAGAAAACACCUCGCUUUUGGAGGACGGGACUGACCUGCUCGCCGGACGGAACCUUUGAAUUCAUUUUCCUA